AAGAAAAAAGAAAGAAAAAAGAAAAGGAAAAAAUGAAAGAAAAAUAAACACAGUUGGGUCAACCGGACCCGACCCGCGCAACCCGAAUCCGACCCAAGCAGGCCACCAGCAACAGGCCAUCAGUUGCAGGCCCAAUCCCUACAAUAGGCCCACAGACAACACUCCAGGCCCGUUCCAGCACCGGCAGGCCCCCAGGCCCAAGCAGCAGGCUUGCCAGCAAAAAAAAUUGAAGAAGAAAAAGAGAAAAAAAUUUAAAAAGUAGGCAUUGGCAGCAGGCCAUCCAGCAGCCCCAGCAGCCAAGCCCACUGCAGCAGGUCAGGCAGCAGCCCAACGCAGCAAGCUAGGCCCAAUUCAGUAGGCCUAGCAGGCCAGGCAGUCAGCAGGCCAACAAGCAGCAGCCCAACAAGCUCCCAGCCCAGUAUGCAGCAGCCCAACAGCAGAAAAAAAGGGAAAAAAAGAAAAAAAAGAGCCCGGGUCGCAUAUCCCGUUCUUCAAGUCCGUAAUUUUGGGGCUUUUUGGUAAUUUUUCAACCCAC
rnacentral:lncRNA from 1 species